rnacentral:rRNA from 1 species
CGUGUAGGCGGAGCAUCAGGUGCCGUGUGAAAGCCCCGGUCUCAACCCGGGAACGGCUCGGCAAACCGGUGCUCUUGAGGCAGGUAGAGGCGACUGGAACGACUGGUGGAGCGGUGAAAUGCGUAGAUAUCAGUUGGAACGCCGGAGGCGAAAGCGGGUCGCUGGACCUGUCCUGACGCUGAGACGCGAAAGCGUGGGUAGCGAACAGGAUUAGAUACCCUGGUAGUCC